UAAUUGGAUAUGUUAGUGCAUUUAUACUAG
rnacentral:piRNA from 1 species